CUAUUUCCUGGGCAGAAUGAGAACAUAAACUGUGAAAGUAAACAGUCACCUAAAGAAAUUGCAGUAUGAAGAGGAGCCAUAUGCAGCAGCUGCCAGUGAUGCCAGAGACCAACAUCUGCUGACCAGAAGAGAAGGACGUGAUUUACUGCGGUUGAAUUUUUACAAUUUUUAAUGGAAUCUUUUCCUACCACUUAAAAAAAAUUAUUUGAGGCAGAAAAGGCCUGAUAAGACAUUCUGCUUCCAUGAAGACACAGUGAUGAACAAGACUGGCAUAAUCGCUCCUUGAGUCUGGCUGGGAAGACAAGCUUUAAGCAAGUCAUUCAAAGGUGACCAGUGCCGAAAGUGGGGGGUCCUAUGGAAACACAACAGAGAGAGCUACUCUGGUUGAAGCAAGGACAGGAACAGCUAACACUGGAGCCAGGGUUAAAGUCAGCUAAACUGUGCACAGCUUGGGGCUGGGGGAAGCACAGAGUGUGUCAGGAAUUGAAGGCCAGUGUAACUGUGGCCCAAGGCAGGACAGAGAGGCAGGGUCUGGCAGGUGCGAGUUAGGAACUGUGGACACCACAAAGACAAGGGAGGGGCAUGAGGUGGUGAACUUUCUGUGAAGGAGACGAGCUCAGGGGAGAGCAGGGGUGGGUGGAGGAGACCCACCUGGAGGUGAGUUCAGCAGCCCCUGUUGCCUACUGGACACACAGCUUACAGGUGACAGCAUGAUGGGCUAUGUGGUGG
rnacentral:lncRNA from 1 species